rnacentral:rRNA from 1 species
UACGUAGGGACCAAGCGUUGUUCGGAUUUACUGGGCGUAAAGGGCGCGUAGGCGGCGUGGUAAGUCACUUGUGAAAUCUCUGAGCUUAACUCAGAACGGCCAAGUGAUACUGCUGUGCUAGAGUGCAGAAGGGGCAAUCGGAAUUCUUGGUGUAGCGGUGAAAUGCGUAGAUAUCAAGAGGAACACCUGAGGUGAAGACGGGUUGCUGGGCCGACACUGACGCUGAGUGCGCGAAAGCCAGGGGAGCAAACGGG